AUUGAACGCUGGCGGCAUGCUUUACACAUGCAAGUCGAACGGCAGCACGGGUGCUUGCACCUGGUGGCGAGUGGCGGACGGGUGAGUAAUGCAUCGGAACGUAUCCUGGAGUGGGGGAUAACGUAGCGAAAGUUACGCUAAUACCGCAUAUUCUGUGAGCAGGAAAGCAGGGGAUCGCAAGACCUUGCGCUCUGGGAGCGGCCGAUGUCGGAUUAGCUAGUUGGUGGGGUAAAGGCCUACCAAGGCGACGAUCCGUAGCGGGUCUGAGAGGAUGAUCCGCCACACUGGGACUGAGACACGGCCCAGACUCCUACGGGAGGCAGCAGUGGGGAAUUUUGGACAAUGGGCGCAAGCCUGAUCCAGCCAUGCCGCGUGAGGGAUUAAGGCCCUAUGGGUUGGUAAACUUCUUUUAUUAAGGGAAAAACCUACUCUACGUGUAGAGAGUUGAUGGUACUUUAUG
rnacentral:rRNA from 1 species